AAAAUAUCAUAUUAUUUUGCUUCCUUUUUUUUGUAAUGUUGUAAAUUUACCAAAGUAACACAAAUCUGAAUCUAAAAAAUGUAUUACAAGUGCAAUUUAUUACUCCCUCCUGCCCUGCGCAAACAAUAUUAACUCUUAUUUCUUAAAAGAAAAAAUGAAUAGUAAGAAGCUCAAUCAGUAUUCAUGUUAUCAAGUUUAUCUGUUCCACUUUAUUAGUUCUUAGUUUGAUUCACAGUUAUACUUGUCAUUACAAACAGAAAUCUGUAGCAAAUGGAGAAAAGGCAGUGCAUACAAGAAGGGAUUAGUAAAACUUAAUUGAAUUGAAUAAUAGUGUGCAGCACCAGAGGGUUAAGUGGCUAUUCUUUAUUAAAGCAGAUCGUUUAAUGUUUUUCUAGCCGACUAAAUCAUUUUGUUGCUGUCAUGAAAAGACUGUAGUAUAAAUCAUAACACUGAUUACGCUCAAACAAGAACCUGAGCUCGUCGCUUUUAUUUGUAUUUUCUAAAGAAAUAAUGCACUCUUCCUAAAGUAAGUAAAAAAAAAAAAAAGACUGUGAAAAAUGUGCCAUCAUGUGAAUGCGUGUGGAUCAGCUGGUGGCUUUAGUCAGCAUUUUCCGGAAAGCGGAGCUGGAGCCUGGCGGGCUGGGUGAAAAGAAAUGAUUUCACAUAAUGAGUUCUCAGUGUGCCGCCGCAACUGAGGACGCCGCGAGGCUGGGAGGACGCAGGGGAACGUGUGAAAGGGUUUUGAAUCUGGCAUUUCACAUCUGGCUCUCGGUGGAUCAACGUUUUGUAUCACGACAGAAAACGAAUCCCCCGACAGACUAGAGCUGAUGUGUUUUCAUAUAAGUGCCGUCUGAGACGUGAGCUGGUGCUACGACAAAGAGGAAAGAUCAGCAGGAGAGAUGAGGUGUGGAGAAAAAGGUUGCCCAUAGCAACGUGAAUCUUUUGGCGAUGCCGACACCUGUGAACGGUGUGAUGUUAACAAGGCACAAAGGCAGAGGAGAAACGCCAAAGGCAGCGCCGUCAAAGCCUGAUCCUCACCUUCUGCUGAUUUUGACAUCAAACUAUGGAGACGGCUUCUUUGGACAUGGACUUUGGGUAGGAGACGUUGUGCUCCAUGAUGGACUGGAACAGCUCGUCUUCAUCCUCCCCAUCAAAUGGAGGCUGUGGGUGGAAGGAC